rnacentral:tRNA from 1 species
CGGCGUGUGGCUCAGUUUGGUAGAGCGCUACGUUCGGGACGUAGAGGCCGCAGGUUCGAAUCCUGUCACGCCGACUA